GACGUAGGGCGCGAGCGUUGUCCGGAUUUAUUGGGCGUAAAGGGCUCGUAGGCGGUUUGUCGCGUCGGGAGUGAAAUCCACUGGCUUAACUGGUGGCUUGCUUUCGAUACGGGCAGACUGGAGGUAUGCAGGGGAGAACGGAAUUCCUGGUGUAGCGGUGAAAUGCGCAGGUAUCAGGAGGAACACCGGUGGCGAAGGCGGUUCUCUGGGCAGUAACUGACGCUGAGGAGCGAAAGCGUGGGGAGCGAACAGG
rnacentral:rRNA from 1 species